rnacentral:rRNA from 1 species
UACGAAGGGGGCUAGCGUUGCUCGGAAUUACUGGGCGUAAAGCGCACGUAGGCGGUCUUUUAAGUCGGGGGUGAAAUCCUGGAGCUCAACUCCAGAACUGCCUUCGAUACUGGAAGACUUGAGUCCGGGAGAGGUGAGUGGAACUGCGAGUGUAGAGGUGAAAUUCGUAGAUAUUCGCAAGAACACCAGUGGCGAAGGCGGCUGACUGGACAUGUAUUGACGCUGAGGUGCGAAAGCGUGGGGAGCAAACAGG